GAUGAACGCUGGCGGCGUGCCUAAUACAUGCAAGUCGAGCGAACGGACGAGAAGCUUGCUUCUCUGAUGUUAGCGGCGGACGGGUGAGUAACACGUGGAUAACCUACCUAUAAGACUGGGAUAACUUCGGGAAACCGGAGCUAAUACCGGAUAAUCUUUUGAACCGCAUGGUUCAAAAGUGAAAGACGGUCUUGCUGUCACUUAUAGAUGGAUCCGCGCUGCAUUAGCUAGUUGGUAAGGUAACGGCUUACCAAGGCAACGAUGCAUAGCCGACCUGAGAGGGGGAUAGGCCACACUGGAACUGAGACACGGUCCAGAGUCCUAAGGGAGGCAGCAGUAGGGAAUCUUCGGCAAUGGGCGAAAGCAUGACGGAGCAACGCCGCGUGAGUGAUGAAGGUCUUCGGAUCGUAAAACUCUGUUAUUAGGGAAGAACAUAUGUGUAAGUAACUGUGCACAGCGUGACGGUACCUAAUCAGAAAGCCACGGCUAACUACGUG
rnacentral:rRNA from 1 species